ACAUUUCUCUGCAACAUUAGAAGCAGGAUAAAUGUGUUGAUUUGAAGGACAGACGUACAGACUCUGGUAAGUCUUGGCUACAUAUAACUAUUAUAAAGUUAGGUCGUAGUCAGACAUUCAAUAGACAGAGUAGGCUUGAGAUAUGAUUCUUUAUCAUGCUGACCAACCUGGGCCCGUUUUCCACGAUGGAAUUUAGGCUUAACGCUGGAAACGCAUAAGAAGUGGUAAACGAUAAUUAACAAAAUACAAAGUUGAGUAAACGCUAUUUUACAAAUAAAAAGGUGCUUAAGCGCGUUUACGUGGGUUUACCCUCCACUACAUCCCCGUUGAUGUGGUGUGCAGCGUAGAGUGUAUAGUCAUUUAGUCUCUAUAGACCAGGUGGCCAGUUGGUGAGAAACUGUUCAGAUGGGGUGGUUUAGACCACUGCACCACCCAGGAGGUGACUGAAAGUAAAUAUGUGAUUUUGUACAGGAUCCAUUUUGAGAUGACAGAGCAGAAAACACUAUAUGGACAAUACUGACAAAUAAAGGGAAGCCUGGGCAACUGAAAUGUCUGAGCUUUUUCAACAGUGUAACUAUGAACAUCUGUACCAAAACCAAAUGAAGGGAGACAUAGAUAUGAUUAAAAAACAACUGUUGAUGCGACAUGAAAAAAAGAUGGGUGGAGGAGAUGAAUCAUAAAUCCAAAUUGAGAACCUUUUGUUUGAUUCAGGGUGAAUUGGUGUGUGAGAGAUAUAUUAUGUAUAACCUACCUAAAAGCAAGAGAUCUCUAUGUGCACAGGGAAGAUCAGGGAUAUUGUCUCUGUGUAUUGAAACAGGUCAGAUCAGGGAUAUUGCCUCUGCGUAUUGAAACAGGUCAGAUCAGGGAUAUUGUCUCUGCGUAUUGAAACAGUUCAGAUCAGGGAUAUUUCAUCUGCGUAUUGAAACAGUUCAGAUCAGGGAUAUUGUCUCUGCGUAUUGAAACAGUUCAGAUCAGGGAUAUUUCCUCUGAGUAUUGAAACAGGUCAGAUCAGGGAUAUUGUCUCUGAGUAUUGAAACAGGUCAGAUCAGGGAUAUUGUCUCUGCGUAUUGAAACAGGUUAUUUCAGGGAUAUUGUCUCUGUGUAUUGAAACAGGUACGAUCAUGGAUAUUGCCUCUGAGUAUUGAAACAGGUAAGAUCAGGGAUAUUUUCUCUGAGUAUUGAAACAGGUCAGUAUUGUGGUGAAAUGGAGGAAAGACUAUGUAACUAUUGUGACCUUAAAGAAAUAGAGAAUUAAACUGAUUUAAUCCUCUAUUUCCUUUUCUACCAUGACAUACGCUUGCUCUUAUUCCAGAAAGACCACCAGAUAUACCCUGGCAGUAUGUGAUGAGUGAUGAGGAGAAAUUGAAAUGUUUUUUUUGUCCAUUGUGUAUUUCCGUUUGUGGAAUAUUUAGAUAAAUCCUGGAAUAUAAGAAAAAUGUUUACCUAUAAUUAAAUUGUAAAAAUAUUUAGCUUCUGCGUGGUAAAUGGUACAUGUGUAUAUAGAUUGUGUAUAGACUUGUCUCCCAUAUGACUCUUCUAUGUGGUAAAUGGUAUGUGUGUAUAUAGAUUGUGUAUAGACUUGUCUCCCAUAUGAGUCUUCUAUGUGGUAAAUGGUAUGUGUAUAUAGAUUGUGUAUAGACUUGUCUCCCAUAUGAGUCUUCUAUGUGGUAAAUGGUACAUGUGUAUAUAGAUUGUGUAUAGACUUGUCUCCCAUAUGAAUCUUCUAUGUGGUAAAUGGUAUGUGUAUAUAUAGAUUGUGUAUAGGUUUGUCUCCCAUAUGAGUCUUCUAUGUGGUAAAUGGUAUGUGUAUAUAUAGAUUGUGUAUAGACUUGUCUCCCAUAUGAGUCUUCUAUGUGGUAAAUGGUAUGUGUGUAUAUAGAUUGUGUAUAGACUUGUCUCCCAUAUGAAUCUUCUCUUUGUGUCAGACUGGGUUCAAAUUCCUUCUGUUUAUUUUUCUGGGUUGAUGAUUCACCUCCUCUACCCAUUUUCUGUAUUUAUUUAUCUGUAUAUGUAUGUAUGUAUGUGUAUAUAUACAGUGUGUAUGUAUGUAUGUGUAUAUAUACAGUG